rnacentral:lncRNA from 12 species
GGGGGGGGGGGGGGGGGGGGGGGGGGGGGGGGGGGGGGGGGGGGGGGGGGGGGGGGGGGAACCGGCACCGGGACACCGGAACCGGCACCGGGACAGCGGGGUGGGAACGGGAACCGGCACCGGGAUGGGAACGGGAACCGGCACCGGGACAGCGGAACCGGCACCGGGAUGGGAACGGGAACCGGCACCGGGAAACUGGAACCUGCACUGGGACAGCGGCGUGGGAACGGGAACCGGCACCGGGACACCAGAACCGGCACCGGGACAGCGGCGUGGGAACGGCAAGGGGAACGGGAACUGGAAUAGGCACCAGGACAGCAGAACCGGCACCGGGGUGGGAAUGGGAACCGGCACCGGGAGAACGGGAACUGGAAUAGGCACCGGGACAGCAGAACCGGCACCAGGACAGCAGAACCGGCACCGGGGUGGGAAUGGGAACCGGCACCGGGAACUGGCACUGGGGUGGGAACGGGAAUGGGACAGCAGAACUGGCACCGGGACAGCAAAACCAGCACCGGCACCGGGAUGGGAAUGGGAACCGGCACCGGCACCAGGGUGGGGACGGGAAUCGACACCAGGACAAUGGAACUGGCACCGGCGACAGCAGAACCGGCACCAGGGUGGAAACGGGAACCGGCACCGGGGUGGAAACGGGAACUGACACCGGCACCGAGGUGGGAACAGGAACCGGCACUGGGAACAGGAACUGGCACUGGGGUGGAAAAGGGAACGGGACAGCAGAACUGGCACCGGGACAGCAAAACCAGCACCGGCACCGGGAUGGGAAUGGGAACCGGCACCGGCACCAGGGUGGGGACGGGAAUCGACACCAGGACAAUGGAACUGGCACCGGCACCGGGGAAGGAAGGGGAACCGGCUCCGGGAACGGGAACCGGCACCAGGAUGGGAACCGGCACCAGCACCGUGGUGGGAACGGGUAUCGGCACCGGGACAGUGGAACUGCCACCGGGACAGCAGAACCGGCACCGGGACGGCGGGGCUGGAGCGGGAACUGGCACUGGGAAGCAGAACCAGCACUGGGACAGAGGAGUGGGAGCGGGAACCGGCACCAACACCGACACCAGAACAGCAGGAGCCGGUACCGAGCUGGCACCAGCAGGGGACACCGGGACCGGGAUGGGCAAGGGACAGGACCAGGCAAGGGACAUAGGGACAGGGACAGGGACAGGGACAGGGACAGGGACAUCCAGGGACGGGCACACAGGGACAAGGACAGGAGUGGGGACAUCUGGGGAUGGGCAGGGGACACUCAGGGACUGGGCCAGGGACAGAGAUGGAACACCCAGGGAUGGGACACCCAGGGACAGGACUGGGCGAGGGACAUCCAAAAAUCAGGCCAGGCAUGGACUUGGGACACACAGGGAUGGGGACAGGGAUGUGUCACCCAGGGACAGACAGGGAACAGCCAGGGCAGGAGCAGCCAGGACAGAGGGACAGGGACCACGAGCUGAGCAGGACGGGCACGGAGGGAGCUGGCAGAGAGGUGCCAGGAGAAGCAGGACAAACAGCAGCAGGGCGAGGCCAAGGCCGGGCACGGCCGGAGGAGAGGCACGGAAGGACAGACGGACAGGAAGCGCCAGGACAGAGGGACGGGAGUGACAGGGACUGGCACAGGCAGACAGUGGGGACGGAAACAGGCGGACGGACAAAGGGUGACAUGGAGCCGCGGGGAAAGGAAACAGCGAGGACAGGAAACAGCUGGACAGACGGACGGACGGACAGAGCCGCAGCAGAGCAUCCCAAAAACCACCGUGGAGAAACUGCUGAGGAAAUGAGUCCCACCCCCCAAAUUCCGGCGGCAGGAGGUGACACCAACGUCGUGACACCAGCCCUGAGUCACCUGUGGCAGCAGCUGGCACAGCCAGCACCCAGCACCGGCCCUGGGGUGGCGUGGGGGCAAUUUUGGGAGGGAAAGGGAGUGCCAGGAAAGUGUGAGGACGUGCAGGAAACAGGGAGGAAUGAUGGCCACAAGCCUUGGGGACACAGGGACAGGGCGGGAAGGGGACAGAGUGACCCCAGUGCCAGGGCUGGAGCCAAGAGGGGCAGAUGAGCCCGGGGAGGGGCUCGGGGCAGGGCACAGCCCCCCAGGGCACCCUGAGACGGCUCCUCCGCUGCUGGCAGCGCUCAUUGUCCCCACUCUGUCCCCAAAAGGGACGGAGCUCCACGUGUGGGACAAAGGUGGGGGUUGGGACAACCCCCCCCCCCCCCCCCCCGGCAGCCCGCGCCACGCAGCAUUCCCGGGAAUGCCGGACAGUGACUGCCUGCAAUUCUGGGAAUGCCAGCC